UACGUAGGGCGCAAGCGUUGUCCGGAAUUAUUGGACGUAAAGAGCUCGUAGGCGGCCUGUUGCGUCCGCUGUGAAAUCCCGGGGCUUAACCCCGGGCGUGCAGUGGAUACGGGCAGGCUGGAGGCAGGCAGGGGAGAACGGAAUUCCUGGUGUAGCGGUGAAAUGCGCAGAUAUCAGGAGGAACACCGGUGGCGAAGGCGGGUCUCUGGGCAACAACUGACGCUGAGGAGCGAAAGCGUGGGGAGCGAACAGG
rnacentral:rRNA from 1 species